UGGCCACCGGAGCUCAACAGAUUUCCACAGGAAAUCUGGGGGCGGCUGUUAAAAAGUCCUCCGUCCAGGGCAUGCGUUACCUGCAUGGGAGGAGCAUGAUUCCCCCAGGGGCCAGCAGCCAAUCAGAGUGCUCACCCGUUCUCUCCUUGCUGUGGCAAUUAAAAGUGUAGUCGGAGAGUAACGCUGCUGCAGGCAAGUUGUGGACUUGAGUUGAAUCGGACUAAGGCGGGCAAGAGUGCGUUCAUAGAACCAAACCACAUCCUUACUUGCCAGCGAGAGUGUGUGUUCGAUGUGGGCUCGUGGCAAAUAAAGUUCUUCCACUCUGACAUCA